GCCUCCUUAGCUCAGAGGCAGAGCACUGGUCUUGUAAACCAGGGGUCGUGAGUUCGAUUCUCACAGGGGGCG
rnacentral:tRNA from 1 species